rnacentral:rRNA from 1 species
GACGAACGCUGGCGGCGUGCUUAACACAUGCAAGUCGAACGGAAAGGCCCUGCUUUUGUGGGGUGCUCGAGUGGCGAACGGGUGAGUAACACGUGAGUAACCUGCCCUUGACUUUGGGUUACUUUAGGGAAACUGGGCUUACUCCCGACUCGAAGCUCCGCUUCCAUGGUGGGGUUGGGAAAGUUUCGGCGGUUGGGGAUGGACUCGCGGCUUAUCAGCUUGUUGGUGGGGUGGUGGCUUACCAAGGCUUUGACGGGUAGCCGGCCUGGGAGGGUGACCGGCCACAUUGGGACUGAGAUACGGCCCAGACUCCUACGGGAGGCAGCAGUGGGGAAUAUUGCACAAUGGGCGGAAGCCUGAUGCAGCAACGCCGCGUGCGGGAUGACGGCCUUCGGGUUGUAAACCGCUUUCGCCUGUGACGAAGCGUGAGUGACGGUAAUGGGUAAAGAAGCACCGGCUAACUACGUG